rnacentral:rRNA from 1 species
CCUACGGGAGGCAGCAGUAAGGAAUAUUGGUCAAUGGACGAAAGUCUGAACCAGCCAUGCCGCGUGAAGGAUUAAGGCCCUCUGGGUUGUAAACUUCUUUUAUCUGGGACGAAAAAAGGGUAUUCUUACUCACUUGACGGUACCAGAGGAAUAAGCACCGGCUAACUCCGUGCCAGCAGCCGCGGUAAUACGGAGGGUGCAAGCGUUAUCCGGAUUUACUGGGUUUAAAGGGUGCGUAGGUGGGCUUGUAAGUCAGUGGUGAAAUCUCCGGGCUUAACCCGGAAACUGCCAUUGAUACUAUAGGUCUUGAAUUAUCUGGAGGUAAGCGGAAUAUGUCAUGUAGCGGUGAAAUGCUUAGAUAUGACAUAGAACACCAAUUGCGAAGGCAGCUUACUACGGAUAUAUUGACACUGAGGCACGAAAGCGUGGGGAUCAAACAGGAUUAGAUACCCUGGUAGUCCACGCCCUAAACGAUGGAUACUCGACAUCAGCGAUACACUGUUGGUGUCUGAGCGAAAGCAUUAAGUAUCCACCUGGGAAGUACGAUCGCAAGAUUGAAACUCAAAUGAAAUUGACGGCUGAGACGAGCGAGACGACGACGAGGGAGGAGG